UUGCGCCUACGGGGGGCAGCAGUGAGGAAUAUUGGUCAAUGGGCUUACGCCUGAACCAGCCAAGUCGCGUGAGGGGAGACUGCCCUAUGGGUUGUAAACCUCUUUUGUCAGGGAGCAACGCCGGCUACGUGUAGCCGGCCUGAGGGUACCUGAAGAAAAAGCAUCGGCUAACUCCGUGCCAGCAGCCGCGGUAAUACGGAGGAUGCGAGCGUUAUCCGGUUUUUUUGGGUUUAAAGGGUGCGU
rnacentral:rRNA from 1 species